rnacentral:rRNA from 1 species
GUGCCAGCAGCCGCGGUAAGACAGAGGUGCCGAGCGUUAGGCGGAAUCACUGGGCUUAAAGCGUGUGUAGGCGGGUCCGUAAGUACCUUGUGAAAUCCCACGGCUCAACCGUGGAACUGCUUGGUAUACUGCGGGUCUUGAGCCACCUAGGGGCAAGCGGAACAAACGGUGGAGCGGUGAAAUGCGUAGAUAUCGUUUGGAACGCCAAUGGUGAAAACAGCUUGCUGGGGGUGUGCUGACGCUGAGACACGAAAGCCAGGGGAGCAAACGGGAUUAGAUACCCCCGUAGUCC